GGUCUUGUGGUCUAGUGGUAUGAUUCUCGCUUAGGGUUCAACCCUGAGUUUCAAAGUUUGCGAGAGGCCCCGCGUUCGAUCCGCGGCAAGACCC